GUUCGAGAACGGUCCUUGGAAUGGCCAGUACAGUCCUUUGGCACAGGAGUUUCCCCGGUACAGGGGGUGCAGGGGCUGCCGUGAGGUCGGCCCCCGCAUUUUGAAUGGGCUGUGUCUCGAAAACUAUUUGGUGCAGGGGGCUGAUAUUCGAGAGCGGUCUUCAGAAUGGCGAAUACAAACCAAUGGCGCACAAAUUUUUCCGGUGCGGGGGAUGCGGGGGCCAACUUCACGGAACCACCAAAACGUUGAAGCAGAUCGCGAGGGGAAGCGUAGAAGUCGUUAACACGCAAGAAAGCGAAGGGAAGCGAAAAGAAAUCGGAGGACUCGACGAUCAUCGCAU
rnacentral:lncRNA from 1 species